UACGUAGGGGGCUAGCGUUGUCCGGAUUUAUUGGGCGUAAAGAGCGUGUAGGCGGCCAGGUAGGUCUGCUGUGAAAACUCGAGGCUCAACCUCGAGACGUCGGUUGAAACCACCUGGCUAGAGUCCGGAAGAGGAGAGUGGAAUUCCUGGUGUAGCGGUGAAAUGCGCAGAUAUCAGGAGGAACACCAAUGGCGAAGGCAGCUCGCUGGGACGUGACUGACGCUGAGACGCGAAAGCGUGGGGAGCAAACAGG
rnacentral:rRNA from 1 species